CCAGACUCCUACGGGAGGCAGCAGUGGGGAAUAUUGCGCAAUGGGGGGAACCCUGACGCAGCCAUGCCGCGUGAAUGAAGAAGGCCUUCGGGUUGUAAAGUUCUUUCGGUAUUGAGGAAGGUUGGUGUGUUAAUAGCACAUCAAAUUGACGUUAAAUACAGAAGAAGCACCGGCUAACUCCGUGCCAGCAGCCGCGGUAAUACGGAGGGUGCGAGCGUUAAUCGGAAUAACUGGGCGUAAAGGGCACGCAGGCGGGCUUUUAAGUGAGGUGUGAAAUCCCCGGGCUUAACCUGGGAAUUGCAUUUCAGACUGGGAGUCUAGAGUACUUUAGGGAGGGGUAGAAUUCCACGUGUAGCGGUGAAAUGCGUAGAGAUGUGGAGGAAUACCGAAGGCGAAGGCAGCCCCUUGGGAAUGUACUGACGCUCAUGUGCGAAAGCGUGGGGAGCAAACAGGAUUAGAUACCCUGGUAGUCCACGCUGUAAACGCUGUCGAUUUGGGGAUUGAGCUUAAAGCUUGGUGCCCGAAGCUAACGUGAUAAAUCGACCG
rnacentral:rRNA from 1 species